AUUGAACGCUGGCGGCAUGCUUUACACAUGCAAGUCGAACGGUGACAGGCCGCAAGGUGCUGACGAGUGGCGAACGGGUGAGUAAUGCAUCGGAACGUGCCCAGUCGUGGGGGAUAACUACUCGAAAGAGUAGCUAAUACCGCAUACGAUCUAUGGAUGAAAGCGGGGGACCGUAAGGCCUCGCGCGAUUGGAGCGGCCGAUGUCAGAUUAGGUAGUUGGUGGGGUAAAGGCUCACCAAGCCAACGAUCUGUAGCUGGUCUGAGAGGACGACCAGCCACACUGGGACUGAGACACGGCCCAGACUCCUACGGGAGGCAGCAGUGGGGAAUUUUGGACAAUGGGCGCAAGCCUGAUCCAGCAAUGCCGCGUGCAGGAAGAAGGCCUUCGGGUUGUAAACUGCUUUUGUACGGAACGAAACGGCUCUGGUUAAUACCCGGGGAUAAUGACGGUACCGUAAGAAUAAGCACCGGCUAACUACGUG
rnacentral:rRNA from 1 species